ACAUAUAAUGCACCCUUGUUGAUAUUAAGUUCUCCUGUUAGAAAAAUGAUAAUUCCGCCUUUUAGUAUUUUAACUAGAAAUCAUGCCAAGAAUUGCCUGUGUAUCGUGUCGGCGAUGUUCAUGUAAACAAACGAUUAUUUUCAUUUUCUUAGGGUAAUUGGUUUUUCCAACAAACUUGUACAAAAUUAAACAUAUU